CCACUAACAGAUUUUGCAGAGCCAGCACGUCGAGCUUCCUAGACGUAAUCUUCCAAAUACGUGGGCCUCCUGCUCUCUCUUUUGGGCCUGUUGUUUCCAUGAUUGGUAUUGCUAUCAUAUUGCAGAAUUUGGUACAAAAUUACAAGCAGAGAGAAGUAAACCUUGAAAGGAAGCUUCUUAAAUUGAAUAGUCUGAGGGAAGAGCAAUCAACCAUUGCUCAAAUGCAAAAACAAUUAGAGGAAAAGACAGAAACUGUGGAGAUUCUUAAUAAGACCAUUGGUUCCUUGCGGUCAGAGAGUGAAGUUUUUCGAGAAAAAAUAAGAGAGGAUCUAAUGUUAAAAAAACAAUUUUGCAUUUUGUGAAACCAGUUUUUGCGUCCUUGAGCAGCGGAAACCUUUCUUUUAAUGUUGGUUUUCCUUUAACAGGGAUUGAUAAGUAUGACACUGGAGAUGGAUUUGGCCAUUUUGGUCUUCUUUCACCGGUGAAAUGUAUUUUUAUGAGAAGGCUUUUGGUAUGGAGCUACUUCGAAGACAAGAUGACCCAGAAACUAAGCCCUAUCCUCCUCCAUCAGCCAUGACACUGCUACACCUUCCACCAAAACGAAGUCUGGGAAGCCAUUUAAAACUCGCGUUCAACCGCCUCUAAGCUCUCUCUCGGCGCCUUGUUCUCUUGCCGCUGGCGAUCAGCUUGGCUACUGCUUCCACCCCCAUUUUUGCUUUGACCAAUUUGCCUCCGACAAUGCAUUGUGGACCCCAAGUUGUGCGAAUGGCAUUGGAUUUUGGAGUCCAUUGACGAGUUCGAGUGGAGAUUCAGCAAAAAGGAGUUGGAAGAGCAGUUGGUUGGGCCGUUGGAGUACAGUGGACCGAUUCUGAUGAUGAGUUGAUGUCCGUGGUGGAAUGAAGUUGCAACUAUUUUUUUUAAUUAAUUCUCAUAUUUUAACUAUUAUUUUUACUCUUUCAGUUGUUGUUUGUUGCAUAUAUUAAACAUGAUUUCAUGAGUUUCUCAGUUUCGAUGGGUUGAAAAAUCAGACCUUUUGCUUAUGAAUGCUGGAAUAUGUGAAAUUAGAAUGAAUGUCUUCCAGUUGCUGCAAUGUGUGUCAAUUUCUUUGUUAUUUCUUGUUUUAUCCUAAACUUGACAGAUCUCACAUGAGCCUUGUAUGGAAUGUAAUAACAAAUUGGUGAAAAAAUCUUGAUGGAGCUGGGGCAUGGUUGAGAUUUGGGAGGAUUUGAAUGUUCUUCUCUUUCAUUGCUUGAAGUUAAAUUGGAGACAAUGACUUUCGCGGCGCAUAUCCAGCGUUUGAUUUCAUUAUCUAGACGUCGCUCGCUGAUACUGAGCUUUUCGAUGCGAGUUUGCGGAAGCUGGCGUCAACGGAGGAUUUUCUGACGUUGUCGUGAACUCUAUUUUAGAGAAGCUUGGGUGGUAAUGGGUAGUGUUACUACUACUGCUAGAUAAAGAAAGUUCCAUCUAUGAGUUUCUUUCUUUUAUGAGGUGAUUUUUUUUUCUUUUCUAAAUGGUGUUUUUUGUGUUUGGGUCAUGCAGAGUGUAGCGCUUCUCGACUGGGAAGUAUAUUUGUCUAAGGAGGGUAAUGACGUAAGUAUGUUCAAAAGAGAGCGUGUAUUUUUUCUACAGGGGAUAUCUUUGGAAAAAAAACAAAUUCAAAAAGAAAGUGAAUAAAAUAACGAGGAGAACUGAAUAGAGCAAUUGUCAAA